rnacentral:lncRNA from 1 species
AUGAAAACCAAGGCGCACCAUGAAAACCAAGGCGCACUACGAAAACCAAGGCGCUCUACGAAAACCAAGGCGCUCUACGAAAACCAAGGCGCUCUACGAAAACCAAGGCGCUCUACGAAAACCAAGGCGCUCUACGAAAACCAAGGCGCUCUACGAAAACCAAGGCGCUCUACGAAAACCAAGGCGCUCUACGAAAACCAAGGCGCUCUACGAAAACCAAGGCGCUCUACGAAAACCAAGGCGCUCUACGAAAACCAAGGCGCUCUACGAAAACCAAGGCGCUCUACAAACAGGGCUAUGAUGCAGAUGAUGUCUUCCCCACAACAGAGAAGGGGAACAGUUACUCUGACGUCAACAUCCUGGCACAGGCCGACAGACAUGACCCCAAUGACUUUCAAGCCACUGUUUCUUACUCAAGACUAGACGAUGGCAAAGACAUUGAUGAUCAAGGCGCCACUGCCUCCAAUAUGAACCAAACUGAGUACUAAACUAACUUCAUGCUCUUAGGCAAAGAUAAAGGUGAAUCAAUUUACACACAUUUGUAAAAAAAAAAAAAAAAAAAAAACAUGGGACCAAAUGUUCACUGUUUGCAUAUUGCUGAUCCUUGUGUCUUUUUUUCUUCAUCAGUUAUUAUUGUUUAUAAUACACAGUCUACUACAGCUGCUGUACAAUCCACCAUAUCUAACAUGGGAAGCAUGACUGUAAAUGCUGCUUUGACAGGAAUAAGGUACAAGAACAAUUGUGUUCUGUAUUUUACAGAGUGUUCAAGCUGCAUAGCGCUCUCUAAGAUCCUUUGAAUUACUUUGCAGGUGAGGUAUUGUAAAACAUUUAGCUGCAUUGGUAUAAAAUGCCACAUGCAUAAGAAGUCCGUGGAGGAUGUGUUGAGCAUUCCUAUUAUCGCUUUCAAAACGAAUUUGUCUUUAACAUGCAAUGUCAAUAUACUUGGUUAUCACCAUGUCAGUAGUCUGAAACUAAACUGUUAAUGGAUGAAGUAUUGUUGAUGAUUAGUCUGCUGCUGAUGAUCACUGCUAUUGAUGGGGAUAAUGA